ensembl:lncRNA
CUCCCAUAUAGUUCCCCCACCAAAAAAAAAAAAAAAAAGAAGCAAGCAGAUUUAGUAUUUUGCUGGCAAUAAGUCAAAUGUUGCUUAAGACAUAAGUCAGUGCCAUUUGACACAAUUGAUAGUUUCCACUUGAGCAAAAUUCAUAAAUGUUGCCAGCAUGAGAUCUGAAUGAAUUUUUAAUCUCUGGAGUCACUGGCAGGGCAGUCUGGGGGAAACUAGGGUUAUGUUGAUAGACUUAUGUUUGGCCGAUGAAUAAGAAGGACCUUUUUGAAUUCCCUGCUUGAGAGCUAGCCUGAUAUUUAUCCAUCUAUCACUGUCUGUUUCUCCUGUGCAUUCCUGUUUUAUUCAAUUGUGAGUUGCUCUGCCUUUUUUUUUUUAAAGGCCUUGUGCAUAUGUGUGAGUAGCCACACUCAAUCUGGUAGCUUUCCUCUUACUGAGACGGAGAUUGUAAUUGGUUAUUGAUGGCCUAUUUGUAUGGUAAUGUUGCUCAAUAAAAAAAGCUAAAGCAUAAUUAACGCUCUUGCUUCACCAGAAAAGAAAGGGAAAAAGAAAAGCUUGGAAAGGUCAACGAAUUUCAUAUAAUAAAUUACUAAAUAAUGGAAGACAUUGGAGCCUACAUCCUAGAAUGUAAUCUUUUCGCUAUUUAUUAGCUAUUAUUUAUUACAAAUGCUGACUAUACUUACUUUUUGGUAACUAUUUUCUAUAUACGAUGUAUUUAAACAUUAUGACCCUGUGGUUGGUGGUGUAAUGUACUGCAGCCUGCCAAAUUUCAGAUGUAGUGGCUUUCAAGAGAACAGCUUCUCUGUUUAUUCUCCUAUAUUUCAUUAGACCACAAUUCAGUGAAAGUGCAGGCUGGGCUGGCCAGCUCUUAGUGCAGAGACUCGAAUCAGGAAACCUAGCAUCAGCCUUUGCAAACAUUUAUCCACAGAGCGGUAAGCUCCAGCCCUAAAGGCAACACAUGCAACACAUUUACUGCUGGAGUGAAUAAGGGUUGGCAGAACUAGCUCAUUGCAUACUUUGGAAAGCAAGGAGAAUUUAAAGCCCAAAUCUUUGUUCAUGAAAGUUCUACAGUUGACUUUGGUGGAUUUUGGGUCAUGCUGUUGGACAUAGCCUGAGAUAUACGGGAAGCUGCACGAAAAAAAAAGAGUUUUUGUCUUCUCUCUCUGUUUCAAGAAAGCAAUGAAAGGCAAGAGGUACCACUAGGAGCUGGCAUGGAUGUGGACUGCACAUAAAAAGAUCAGCAUCUGAUCAGCAUCAUGAAAUGGUAGCUGAUGAUUGGCAACAAACAAAAAACGGAGCUUCCCUGGAGGUGUACCAGUUCCAUGAGCCUCCUGCCAGCUGAGCAGCACUGAUGCCAACAGUGGAGAAUAACAUCUAGAAGAUCAAUGAGGAAGGAUAUUUUACAGAGGUGUUAAAGAAAAGGAUAUAAAAAGGAUACUGAAGGUAAAGAAGACAUCAAGACAAUUUUGUACCAGAGGUGAAGCAUCAUGAGCAAUUCCAUGUGGACCAACUGUACACUAAAAGAAAUGAGGAAAUAAAAGAGAACUGAGAGUACUAGCCAUGAAAUCAUGGAGUAGGAGGAGCAUUCAAUAAGAUGGAUGUGGAUAUGCCACACAACUCCAGUUCCAGAGACAUGGAUAGUUUUUGGAGUCUUCCUUCUCUGUGUGUAUGGCUGAAACUGCUAAAUACAAGAGACAAGAAACAGAGUUCAGUGAAGCAGUACUCAGCUUUGUGUGGUAAUAUGAGGGCCAUGCUGAAGGCAGAAGAGUCCUUGAUGGUUCCGGCUGUCUGGCUUUCUAGGGUAGAGCUGUGGGCAAUCAAUUAACUCCACCAGUCCGAAAAGCAGAAAUGCAUGCAAGCAGACAUCAAAUCCUGCUUACAAGCAAUGCAAACUGAAUACAGCAACUUUGGAGAUUAAUGUUCCUGGACCAGAAGGGACACCAGCAGUGUGUUACUAUCUGGCAGAUCUACAGCAUAGUACAUGGAGAUGCUACCAGCCCCACCCAAAAUUACAUGUUAUGUAACCAAGUGAGAUGCAUUAAGAUCAUCUCCAACAUCGCCAUCUCCUGACUUUGAAUGAUAGUGCAUGUUGCUUCUGUGACAAUUGGUAUUCAAGAAAUGAAAAAAUGGCACUCAAGAUUUCUGUUCUGAAUUAAAAAAAAUAAUAAUAAUCAAUUUUGCACUGAAUUUUUCUUCUUUGUAUUCUGAAAUGUUUUGUAGCUGAUUAUCAAAUAAUUUAUCUUUGAUUUUGUAGUUAUUGUUUGCGUAAGACCCCAUUAACUCUUACAGGGUAGGUGGGCAACUGAAAACGUCAGCAUAUAUAGAAGAAAUUCAAGAACUUCAAGCACUGUAAGCUGUAGAGAGAGUUCCAAGUAACUCUUCAGCAACCUCUGCAAAGUUCCUCUCUUCUGGAAAAUGAAUACUAACCCAGGACAAGAGAAGACUGACGCCUGAUCAAGCCGUGGAAAUCUCCCUGAUGACUUCACUGGGCUCUUGCAUGUACAUAUAGAGCAGUCAUCUCCAUCCACUUACAGUCCUGCACUGAUGAUGUUCACUUGAACUGUGAAAUGGUUAGCAUUUAAAAGUUGUCCCUUCUACGUGAAUCCUGCUGUGCCUCACGUUUUAUAAUGCCGAGUGUUGUUAAAUGUUUGAGCAAUAUUGCAAUUGUUUCUAUUUGUUGAAUUUAUAUGAAAGCUAUUAUCUGUGACUUGUUAUUAUGCUAUGUGAAGAGAUUCCAACCCUUUUUU